rnacentral:rRNA from 1 species
UUUCGCAAUGCCCGAAAGGGUGACGAAGCGACGCCGCGUGAGUGAGGAAGGCCUUCGGGUUGUAAAGCUCUGUCAGGAGUUAAGAAAUAUAAGUGUGUUAAUACCACAUUUAUUUGACGAAGGCUCCAAAGGAAGCCACGGCUAACUCUGUGCCAGCAGCCGCGGUAAUACAGAGGUGGCAAGCGUUGUUCGGAAUUAUUGGGCGUAAAGAGCACGUAGGUGGGUUUGUAAGUCAGAUGUGAAAGCCUUCUGUUCAACGGAGGAAUUGCAUCUGGAACUGCGAGUCUUGAGUGUAGGAGGGGAGAAUGGAACUUCUGGUGGAGCGGUGAAAUGCGUAGAUAUCAGAAGGAACGCCGGCGGCGAAAGCGAUUCUCUGGCCUAUUACUGACACUCAGUGUGCGAAAGCUAGGGGAGCAAACGGGAUUAGAUACUCCGGUAGUCCUAGCUGUAAACGAUGGGCACUAAGUAGAGGGGUUUUA